GGAAGUAAAAGCCGUAACAAGGUUUCCGUAGGUGAACCUGCGGAAGGAUCAUUAUUGUAUAACCGAGGUGCGAGGGCUGUCGCUGACCCGAAAGGUCGUGCACGCCCGAGUGCCCUCACACACAUCCAUCUCACCCCUAUGUGCACCACCGCGUGGGUCCCCCUUUGGCUUGUUCGGAGGGGGGCUUACGUUUUCACACAAACUUUGUAUGCAGUGUAGAAUGUAUUUUUUGUUUUUGCGAUCACGCAAUCAAUACAACUUUCAACAACGGAUCUCUUGGCUCUU
rnacentral:misc_RNA from 1 species